rnacentral:rRNA from 1 species
GAUGAACGCUGGCGGCGUGCCUAAUACAUGCCAGUCGAGCGAACAGACGAGGAGCUUGCUCCUCUGACGUUAGCGGCGGACGGGUGAGUAACACGUGGAUAACCUACCUAUCAGACUGGGAUAACUUCGGGAAACCGGAGCUAAUACCGGAUAAUAUAUUGAACCGCAUGGUUCAAUAGUGAAAGACGGUUUUGCUGUCACUUCUAGAUGGAUCCGCGCCGCAUUAGCUAGUUGGUAAGGUAACGGCUUACCAAGGCAACGAUGCGUAGCCGACCUGAGAGGGUGAUAGGCCACACUGGAACUGAGACACGGUCCAGACUCCUACGGGAGGCAGCAGUAGGGAAUCUUCCGCAAUGGGCGAAAGCCUGACGGAGCAACGCCGCGUGAGUGAUGAAGGUCUUCGGAUCGUAAAACUCUGUUAUUAGGGAAGAACAAAUGUGUAAGUAACUAUGCACGUCUUGACGGUACCUAAUCAGAAAGCCACGGCUAACUACGUG